rnacentral:rRNA from 1 species
UACGUAGGGUGCGAGCGUUGUCCGGAAUUACUGGGCGUAAAGAGCUCGUAGGUGGUUUGUCGCGUUGUUCGUGAAAACUCACAGCUUAACUGUGGGCGUGCGGGCGAUACGGGCAGACUGGAGUACUGCAGGGGAGACUGGAAUCCUGGUGUAGCGGUGGAAUGCGCAGAUAUCAGGAGGAACACCGGUGGCGAAGGCGGGUCUCUGGGCAGUAACUGACGCUGAGGAGCGAAAGCGUGGGGAGCAAACAGG